AAGUCCCCUCAUAUUAGCCUGGCCUAAACCUGCCACAUUCAAGCCAUCUGGAAUCCAGUCACUGCCACAUUGUCACGGCUGUUGCCCUGGUUCCAGGCACUUUAGCCACUUCAUUACGACAGGAGGCCUCCCUGUUUCCAAAAUCCAUCCUGCCAAUUCCUUCUGUUCCAGCAGCAGAAGAAGCCACAACGGUCUCCAACCUUCCAGCCAGGCAAUCCUCAGGAGGGUCCCACUGCCUGAAGACCACCCUGACACCUGUGGAAUUGGAUCUCUGCCAGUGCCUCCAGUUAUAAAAAAUAGGGGACCUCAAUGCUUAUUUGGUCUAUUUUUAUUAAAACCCCAUUAACUUGUUUCCAUCAGAGCAAUUAAAGUGUCGAGGCCUGAUACUGUAAUCGCUGUGGAGGAGGUGCCUUUUGUGAGUUCUCAUGCAGAGAACUUUCUUUUCAAAAGGACCCUGGGGGCUGAAGUAUCAGGUUUAUUCUCAGCCCCAAGUUUGAAGGCUUCUAACCUGCUGCAGUGAAUGUUAAUUCCUUUCACACCUUGCCUGGGGCACAUGGAGCCCGAGUGUGAAGUUUCACUGGCAGAGCUGUAGAGACGCAUUUCUACCUUUGCACCUUGCAAUCAGCUAAACCCACGUGACCCUGUCCUUGUCCUCAUUCCAAGCCAAGAUGGACUGCACUGCUGACCUGGGAACUGUUUUUGGAAAUUGGAAUAACUCCCCACAAGCGAGUGGCAGGAGAUAUUGACCAGUCAGGCCUG